CCUACGGGUGGCUGCAGCGAGGAAUAUUGGUCAAUGGCCGUAAGCCUGAACCAGCCAAGUCGCGUGAAGGAAGAAGGACCUAUGGUUUGUAAACCUCUUUUAUCGGGGAAUAAAGGUAUCCACGCGUGGCUAUUGGCAUGUACCCCAUGAAUAAGCAUCGGCUUACCUCGUGCCAGCAGCCGGUGUUAUACGGAGGAUGCGAGCGUUAUCCGGAUUUUAUGGGUUUAAAGGGUGCGUAGGUUGUUUUUUAAGUCAGCGGUGAAAGUUUGGGGCUCAACCAUAAGAUUGCCGUUGAAACUGGAAGACUUGAGUGUGUUUGAGGUAUGCGGAAUGCGUGGUGUAGCGGUGAAAUGCAUAGAUAUCACGCAGAACUCCGAUUGCGAAGGCAGCUUACUAGGCCAUGACUGACGCUGAGGCACGAAAGCGUGGGGAUCGAACAGGAUUAGAUACCCUUGUAGUC
rnacentral:rRNA from 1 species